rnacentral:rRNA from 1 species
GUGUCAGCCGCCGCGGUAACACGUAGGAGACAAGCGUUAUCCGGAUUUACUGGGUGUAAAGCGCGUGCAGGCGGAUCGGAAAGUUGGAUGUGAAAGCUCCCGGCUUAACUGGGAGAGGUCGUUCAAGACUACCGGUCUAGAGGACAGCAGAGGGGAGUGGAAUUCCGAGUGUAGCGGUAAAAUGCAUAGAUAUUCGGAAGAACACCAGUGGCGAAAGCGGCUCUCUGGGCUGUAACUGACGCUCAGACGCGAAAGCUAGGGUAGCAAACGGGAUUAGAUACCCCCGUAGUCC